rnacentral:rRNA from 1 species
CACGUAGGGCGCAAGCGUUGUCCGGAAUUAUUGGGCGUAAAGAGCGUGUAGGCGGUUUGGUAGGUCCGUUGUGAAAACUCGAGGCUUAACCUCGAGCUGUCGGCGGAAACCAUCUGGCUAGAGUCCGGAAGAGGAGAAUGGAAUUCCCGGUGUAGCGGUGAGAUGCGCAGAUAUCGGGAAGAACACCCGUGGCGAAGGCGGUUCUCUGGGACGGUACUGACGCUGAGACGCGAAAGCGUGGGGAGCGAACAGG